GGAGCAUUCCGAGGACACCGCGGACCGCCCUCGUCGCCGCCGUCGUCCUCGCGUCUUUGCCGGCGUUAGCCGAAUCGUUUGAUGUUGCCGUAUUGGAAUGCCGUCUUACUGUAGAUCGUUUGACGUAGCCGUGCCCGACGGGGCGGGACGGAGCCCGGUUUUUACCGGUAGACCGCCAUCUUGCUGCGUAUCGCUUGAUGUGUGGUGGCCCCGAGGGGGCGUAAUAACUGGAAUACGUGUGAUGCAUAGUGCCUGGUUAUGUGGUAGAAACUGCUAGGCAUGGUAUGGGACGUGCUCAAGUGGAUUCUAUCUUAUAAUCGGGACACGCCCGCUUGUGAUGCAUUGAUGCAUGAGUAAUUGAUCUAGAUGCUUCGAGUUUGCGACAUAUGCAUUUCAUCAACGAGUGUCCCAAGGCGAGGUAAGGAUGCCUGUGACUGUUUAAUGAUGUGCUGUUGAUGCUGUAUUGCCUGGUUAGGGAUCCCCGUGCGAGUUAGCCUCCUAAGCGGGGCUUAGGCUGUUAACUUAUUGAGACUUUCGUCUCAUUUGUUGUUGUUAACCACUUUUCAGGCCCCUAGCAUGUUGUUGCACCCAGUUUGGUUCAGGGCGUCUGGAAGCUGGCUUUUUGGGAUCGACUUGUUGAUGGAGUAGAUUAACCCUAGCCUUUACUCUUUUUGCUGGCUUUUGUGGUAGCGCCCGAUGUGGGCUUGUAAGAAUGUUCCCAGGGGUUAAUCAAGUGAAAAUCAAAAUAGUGUGGUUUGACUGUUGUGAA